AAAUGAAUAGACGGGGACCCGCACAAGCAGCGGAGCAUGUGGUUUAAUUCGAAGAUACCCGAAAAACCUUACCAAGGCUUGACAUGUCCUGAAUAGCCGCGAAAUCGGUGAAGUGGAAGCAAUUUUACAGGAACACAGAUGGUGCAUGGUUGUCGUCAGCUCGUGUCGUGAGAUGUUUGGUUAAGUCCAAUAACGAGCGCAACCCUUGUCGUUAGUUGCCAUCAUUAAGUUGGGAACCCUAACGAGACCGCCGUAGAUAAUACGGAGGAAGGUGGGGAUGACGUCAAAUCAUCAUGCCUCUUACGCCUUGGGCUACACACGCGCUACAAUGGCAACUACAAAGAGCAGCAAAAUAGUAAUAUUAGAGCGAAUCUCAAAAAAGUUGUCCCAAUUCGGAUUGAGGGCUGAAACCCGCCCUCAUGAAAUCGGAGUUGCUAGUAAUCCCAAAUCAGCAUGUUGGGGUGAAUGCGUUCCCGGGUCUUGUACACACCGCCCGU
rnacentral:rRNA from 1 species